UAAUUGCGCGUCNNNUUGUGAACUGCAGGACACAUGAACAUCGACAUUUCGAACGCACAUUGCGGUCCACGGAUACAAUUCCCGGACCACGCCUGGCUGAGGGUCG
rnacentral:rRNA from 1 species